rnacentral:rRNA from 1 species
AAGAACGCCCGGGCUUCGGCCUGGUUAUUCAUAACCCUUUGUUGUCCGACUCUGUUGCCUCCGGGGCGACCCUGCCUUCGGGCGGGGGCUCCGGGUGGACACUUCAAACUCUUGCGUAACUUUGCAGUCUGAGUAAACUUAAUUAAUAAAUUAAAACUUUUAACAACGGAUCUCUUGGUUCUGGCAUCGAUGAAGAACGCAGCGAAAUGCGAUAAGUAAUGUGAAUUGCAGAAUUCAGUGAAUCAUCGAAUCUUUGAACGCACAUUGCGCCCCCUGGUAUUCCGGGGGGCAUGCCUGUUCGAGCGUCAUUUCACCACUCAAGCCUCGCUUGGUAUUGGGCAACGCGGUCCGCCGCGUGCCUCAAAUCGUCCGGCUGGGUCUUCUGUCCCCUAAGCGUUGUGGAAACUAUUCGCUAAAGGGUGUUCGGGAGGCUACGCCGUAAAACAACCCCAUUUCUAAGGUUGACCUCGGAUCAGGUAGGGAUACCCGCUGAACUUAA